AAACCAGCACCUCAAGUGGUCAGGAGGAUUAUUGGGCCUAAAGCAUCCGUAGCCUGUUCUGUAAGUUUUCGGUUAAAUCCAUUAGCUCAACUAAUGGGCCGCCGAAAAUACUGUAGAACUAGGGAGUGGGAGAGGUAGACGGUAUUCGGUAGGAAGGGGUAAAAUCCUUUGAUCUAUUGAGGACCACCUGUGGCGAAGGCGGUCUACCAGAACACGUCCGACGGUGAGGGAUGAAAGCUGGGGGAGCAAACCGGAUUAGAAACCCGGGUAGUCC
rnacentral:rRNA from 1 species